rnacentral:tRNA from 2 species
GUCAGGAUGGCCGAGUGGUCUAAGGCGCUGCGUUCAGGUCGCGGUCUCCCCUGGAGGCGUGGGUUCAAAUCCCACUUCUGACA